GCCAGAGUGGCGCAAUGGUUUGAGUGUUAAGACUAUGAUUCUGGAGACCAGGGUUCAAUUCCCCGCUUGGCCA